rnacentral:rRNA from 1 species
GAUGAACGCUGGCGGCGUGCCUAAUACAUGCAAGUCGAGCGAACAGACGAGGAGCUUGCUCCUCUGACGUUAGCGGCGGACGGGUGAGUAACACGUGGAUAACCUACCUAUAAGACUGGGAUAACUUCGGGAAACCGGAGCUAAUACCGGAUAAUAUAUUGACCCGCAUGGUUCAAUAGUGAAAGACGGUUUUGCUGUCACUUAUAGAUGGAUCCGCGCCGCAUUAGCUAGUUGGUAAGGUAACGGCUUACCAAGGCAACGAUGCGUAGCCGACCUGAGAUGGUGAUCGGCCACACUGGAACGGAGACACGGUCCAGACUCCUACGGGAGGCAGCAGUAGGGAAUCUUCCGCAAUGGGCGAAAGCCUGACGGAGCAACGCCGCGUGAGUGAUGAAGGGCUUCGGAUCGUAAAACUCUGUUAUUAGGGAAGAACAAAUGUGUAAGUAACUAUGCACGUCUUGACGGUACCUAAUCAGAAAGCCACGGCUAACUACGUG